UACAGAGGUCUCAAGCGUUGUUCGGAUUCAUUGGGCGUAAAGGGUGCGUAGGCGGCGCGGUAAGUCGGGUGUGAAAUCUCGGAGCUUAACUCCGAAACUGCAUUCGAUACUGCCGUGCUUGAGGACUGGAGAGGAGACUGGAAUUUACGGUGUAGCGGUGAAAUGCGCAGAUAUCAGGAGGAACACCGGUGGCGAAGGCGGGUCUCUGGGCAACAACUGACGCUGAGGAGCGAAAGCGUGGGGAGCAAACAGG
rnacentral:rRNA from 1 species